rnacentral:rRNA from 1 species
UACGUAGGGUGCGAGCGUUAAUCGGAAUUACUGGGCGUAAAGCGUGCGCAGGCGGUUCGUUGUGUCGGCGGUGAAAGCCCCGGGCUUAACCUGGGAAUGGCCGUCGAAACUGGCGAACUGGAGUGUGGCAGAGGGGGGUGGAAUUCCGCGUGUAGCAGUGAAAUGCGUAGAGAUGCGGAGGAACACCGAUGGCGAAGGCAGCCCCCUGGGCUGGCACUGACGCUCAGGCACGAAAGCGUGGGGAGCAAACAGG